GUGGGGAAUAUUGCACAAUGGGCGCAAGCCUGAUGCAGCAACGCCGCGUGAAGGAGGAAGGCCUUCGGGUCGUAAACUUCUGUCCAAAGGGAAGAAGAAUGACGGUACCUUUGGAGGAAGCCCCGGCUAACUACGUGCCAGCAGCCGCGGUAACACGUAGGGGGCGAGCGUUAUCCGGAAUUACUGGGCGUAAAGAGUGCGUAGGUGGCUUUGCAAGCGUAGGGUAUAAGGCGACAGCCCAACUGUCGUUGGCCCCGCGAACUGUAAGGCUUGAGUACAGGAGGGGAAGGCGGAAUUCCUAGUGUAGCGGUGAAAUGCGUAGAUAUUAGGAGGAACACCAGUGGCGAAGGCGGCCUUCUGGACUGUAACUGACACUGAGGCACGAAAGCGUGGGUAGCAAACAGGAUUAGAAACCCUAGUAGUCC
rnacentral:rRNA from 1 species